GUCCCUGUAGUGCAAUGGAUAGCGCGUUUGACUUCUAAUUCAAAUGUCGUGGAUUCGAAUCCUACCUGGGAUG
rnacentral:tRNA from 1 species